rnacentral:rRNA from 2 species
UACGGAGGGGGUUAGCGUUGUUCGGAAUGACUGGGCGUAAAGCGCGCGUAGGCGGGCAUUUAAGUCGGGGGUGAAAUCCCGGGGCUCAACCCCGGAAUGGCCUUCGAUACUGGGUGCCUAGAGUUCGAGAGAGGUGAGUGGAAUUCCGAGUGUAGAGGUGAAAUUCGUAGAUAUUCGGAGGAACACCAGUGGCGAAGGCGGCUCACUGGCUCGACACUGACGCUGAGGUGCGAAAGCGUGGGGAGCAAACAGG